UGGGGAAUAUUGCACAAUGGGCGCAAGCCUGAUGCAGCCAUGCCGCGUGUGUGAGGAAGGCCUUCGGGUUGUAAAGCACUUUCAGCGAGGAGGAAGGUGGUGAACUUAAUACGUUCAUCAAUUGACGUUACUCGCAGAAGAAGCACCGGCUAACUCCGUGCCAGCAGCCGCGGUAAUACGGAGGGUGCAAGCGUUAAUCGGAAUUACUGGGCGUAAAGCGCACGCAGGCGGUUUGUUAAGUCAGAUGUGAAAUCCCCGGGCUCAACCUGGGAACUGCAUUUGAAACUGGCAAGCUAGAGUCUCGUAGAGGAGGGUAGAAUUCCAGGUGUAGCGGUGAAAUGCGUAGAGAUCUGGAGGAAUACCGGUGGCGAAGGCGGCCCCCCUGGACGAAGACUGACGCUCAGGUGCGAAAAGCGUGGGGAGCAAAACAGGAUUAGAUACCCUGGUAGUCCACGCUGUAAAACGAUGUCGAUUUUGGAGGUUGUGCCCCUUGAGGCGUGGCUUCCGGAGCUAACGCGUUAAAUCGACCGCCU
rnacentral:rRNA from 1 species